rnacentral:rRNA from 1 species
GUAACGGGGUGUUAGGGCACGACACCGUAGAGGGAGCCUGAGAAACGGCUACCACAUCCAAGGAUGGCAGCAGGCGCGCAAAUUACCCAAUCCCGACACGGGGAGGUAGUGACAAUAAAUAACAAUACGGGGUCCUUUCGGGUUUCGUAAUUGGAAUGAGUACACUUUACGAGGAACAAUUGGAGGGCAAGUCUGGUGCCAGCAGCCGAGCUCCAAUAGCGUAUAUUAAAGUUGUUGCAGUUAAAAAGCUCGUAGUUGAAUUUCGGGAUUAGUACGUUGGUCGUGCCUUCGGUACGUACUGGUGUUACUGGUUCCUACCUUCUGACGAACCAUCAUGUCAUUAAUUUGGUGUGGUGGGGAAUCAGGACUGUUACUUUGAAAAAAUUAGAGUGUUUAAAGCAGGCUCGCGCUGGAAUACAUUAGCAUGGAAUAAUGAAAUAGGACGUUGACCCUAUUUUGUUGGUUUCUAGGAUUGACGUAAUGAUUAAUAGGGAUAGUUGGGGGCAUUAGUAUUUAAUUGUCAGAGGUGAAAUUCUUGGAUUUAUUGAAGACUAACUACUGCGAAAGCAUUUGCCAAGGAUGUUUUCAUUAAUCAAGAACGAAAGUUAGGGGAUCGAAGACGAUCAGAUACC